GACGUAGGGCGCGAGCGUUGUCCGGAUUUAUUGGGCGUAAAGAGCUCGUAGGCGGCUUGUCGCGUCGUCCGUGAAAACCCACAGCUCAACUGUGGGCUUGCGGUCGAUACGGGCGGGCUAGAGUUCGGUAGGGGAGACUGGAAUUCCUGGUGUAGCGGUGAAAUGCGCAGAUAUCAGGAGGAACACCGGUGGCGAAGGCGGGUCUCUGGGCCGAUACUGACGCUGAGGAGCGAAAGCGUGGGGAGCGAACAGG
rnacentral:rRNA from 1 species